rnacentral:ncRNA from 2 species
UUUUCCGAUAGAGGCGCGGCAGAGCAAGAGUAAGUAUGAAGAGUUGGCAACGAUGACCAUACUGAAAGGGACUGACCGCCGAAGUGAAGGUUUUUGCCAAGAAACUUUCUGCUGGUUUUGCAUUUAAUAAAUGUAAGACUGUCACCUGGGGUUAUGGUGGAGCGCUAUCCUUGCA